rnacentral:SRP_RNA from 1 species
GCCGGGCGUGGUGGCGGUCGCCUGUAGUCCCAGCUACUCGGGAGGCUGAGGCGGGAGAAUGGCCUGAACCUGGGAAGCGGAGCUUGCAGUGAGCCGAGAUCGCGCCACUGGGGGCAACAGAGCGAGACUCCGUCUCAAAAAAAAAAAUUUUUUUUUUGCUGGAUUUUAUGUCUUGUAUGUAGUUCUUGGUUCAGUAUUUGGUAACCUCUUUUUUUUUUUUUUUUUUUUUUUUGAGACGGAGUCUCGCUCUGUCGCCCAGCCCAGGCUGGAGUGCAGUGGCGCGAUCUCGGCUCACUGCAAGCUCCGCCUCCCGGGUUCACGCCAUUCUCCUGCCUCAG